rnacentral:lncRNA from 1 species
AGAGUAGUAUCAGAGCCUAGAAAAAUAUUUCUAAUAUGAUUUUAGUGAAAAUCGUAGGAUGACUCUAAGGCCCCGUUUGGUUGGGGGGAUAAGCAGGAAUAACGAAAGUUAUCCCCGCUAUUCCGCCAAAUGGGGAGAAAUUUGGCCGGGAUAUUUUAUUCCGAUCAAACCUUGCUAUUUCCAGUUAUCCCGGAAUAGCAAGGGAUUUGCUAUUUCACCAUUUUGGUAGAAUAGCACUAUUCUAAUGCUUAAUUUCAAACUUAAUUAAAAUUAUAAAUUGAAUUAAAACUAAAUUAUAUAAAUAUAAUAUUUUAUAUAUUAUAAUACAUUAUUUUUAUUAUAAAAUUAUUAAUUGUACUAUAUUAAUAAUUAUUAUUUAUAUUUAAAUAUUAUAAUAAAAUUUAUAGUAAAUUAUAUUUAAAUAUUAUAAUAAAUUCUUUUUAUUAAAUUUAAGUUUAAGUAGAAUUUUAAAAAAAUUUAUAAAUUUAUUAUAAUAA